GGUGUGGCUUAGUGGCAGAGCAUUUGUCUAGCAUGCAGGAGACACUGGGUUUAAUUCCCAGGACCA
rnacentral:tRNA from 1 species